rnacentral:rRNA from 1 species
GACGAACGCUGGCGGCGUGCUUAACACAUGCAAGUCGAGCGGUAAGGCCCUUUCGGGGGUACACGAGCGGCGAACGGGUGAGUAACACGUGGGUGACCUGCCCUUAGCUCUGGGAUAAGCCUGGGAAACUGGGUCUAAUACCGGAUAUGACUCCAUAACGCAUGUUGUGGGGUGGAAAGCCUUGUGCGGCUAGGGAUGGGCCCGCGGCCUAUCAGCUUGUUGGUGGGGUGAUGGCCUACCAAGGCGACGACGGGUAGCCGGCCUGAGAGGGCGACCGGCCACACUGGGACUGAGACACGGCCCAGACUCCUACGGGAGGCAGCAGUGGGGAAUCUUGCGCAAUGGGACGAAAGCCUGACGCAGCGACGCCGC